rnacentral:rRNA from 1 species
GAUGAACGCUAGCGGGAGGCUUAACACAUGCAAGUCGAGGGGCAGCACGAUCCCGAGUAAUCGGGAUUGGUGGCGACCGGCGCACGGGUGAGUAACACGUAUGCAACCUACCCUGUACAGGGGGAUAACCCGGAGAAAUUCGGACUAAUAUCCCAUAAUGAUAUUUGAGGGCAUCCUUGGAUAUUUAAAGCUCAGGCGGUACGGGAUGGGGCAUGCGGAACAUUAGCUAGUUGGGAGGGUAACGGCCUACCAAGGCAACGAUGUUUAGGGGACCUGAGAGGGUGAUCCCCCAACUGGUACUGAGACACGGACCAGACUCCUACGGGAGCAGCAGUGAGGAAUAUUGGUCAAUGGGCGCAAGCCUGAACCAGCCAUCCCGCGUGCAGGAAGACGGCCCUAUGGGUUGUAAACUGCUUUUCCAGGGGGAAAUUUUUCUGUCGUGACAGGAAUUGACGGUACCUGGGAAUAAGCAUCGGCUAACUCCGUGCCAGCAGCCGACGGUAAAAUGCGUUACC